rnacentral:lncRNA from 1 species
GUGGGGGGAAGCGAAGCCCUAAGAUGGGCGGAGAGAAGCAGAUGUGGAGGUGAUGGCGAAGACCCAGAUAUAAGCAGGUCAGGCAGUUGGUGAGUUCCAUGAGGAGACUGCAACUUCUCCACCCUGUGCCCCUCCAGAUCCCUCAUGCUGCUCUGUGUCCUCCAGGGUUGGCCUGUCCAAGUUCAACAGUGGGCUUCCACACCCUCCCACUUCCAGCUGGGUUGGCCAAGGGACCCCACUAAAACAGCAUCCUGCACAAAAUAGAACAUAGCAGGCCGGGCGCAGUGGCUCACACCUGUAAUCCCAGCACUUUGGGAGGCCGAGGAGGGCGGAUCACCUGAGGUC